rnacentral:rRNA from 1 species
GGUUAAGGGGAUCUGUUAGAGCAAUCGAAGCAGUGAACUUAAGCCCCAGUAAACGGCGGCCGUAACUAUAACGGUCCUAAGGUAGCGAAAUUCCUUGUCGGGUAAGUUCCGACCCGCACGAAAGGCGUAACGAUUUGGGCACUGUCUCAACAACAGACUCGGUGAAAGUGUAAUUCCGGUGAAGAUGCCGGAUACCUGCGACAGGACGGAAAGACCCCAUGGAGCUUUACUGUAGCUUGACAUUGGGUCUUGGUACUACAUGUACAGGAUAGGUGGGAGGCUUUGAA